ACGAACGCUGGCGGCGUGCUUAACACAUGCAAGUCGAACGGAAAGGCCCUGCUUUUGUGGGUGCUCGAGUGGCGAACGGGUGAGUAACACGUGAGUAACCUGCCCUUGACUUUGGGAUAACUUCAGGAAACUGGGGCUAAUACCCGAUAGGAGCUCCUGCUGCCUGGUGGGGGUUGGAAAGUUUCGGCGGUUGGGGAUGGACUCGCGGCUUAUCAGCUUGUUGGUGGGGUAGUGGCUUACCAAGGCUUUGACGGGUAGCCGGCCUGAGAGGGUGACCGGCCACAUUGGGACUGAGAUACGGCCCAGACUCCUACGGGAGGCAGCAGUGGGGAAUAUUGCACAAUGGGCGGAAGCCUGAUGCAGCAACGCCGCGUGCGGGAUGACGGCCUUCGGGUUGUAAACCGCUUUCGCCUGUGACGAAGCGUGAGUGACGGUAAUGGGUAAAGAAGCACCGGCUAACUACGUG
rnacentral:rRNA from 1 species